GAGCGGUAAUACAGAGGCCCCAAGCGUUAUCCGGAAUUAUUGGGCGUAAAGGGUGCGCAGGUGGUUGUGUUAGUCGAAUGUUAAAGACCCGGGCUUAACCCGGGGAAGGCAUUCGAAACGGCACGACUAGAAUAGGUGAGAGGUAUGCAGAACUCAUGGAGUAGGGGUGAAAUCCGUUGAUAUCAUGGGGAAUACCAAAUGCGAAGGCAGCAUACUGGCACUUUAUUGACACUGAGGCACGAAAGCGUGG
rnacentral:rRNA from 1 species